rnacentral:rRNA from 1 species
AGAUUGAACGCUGGCGGCAGGCCUAACACAUGCAAGUCGAGCGGCAGCACGGGUACUUGUACCUGGUGGCGAGCGGCGGACGGGUGAGUAAUGCCUAGGAAUCUGCCUGGUAGUGGGGGAUAACGCUCGGAAACGGACGCUAAUACCGCAUACGUCCUACGGGAGAAAGCAGGGGACCUUCGGGCCUUGCGCUAUCAGAUGAGCCUAGGUCGAUCAGCUAGUGGUGAGGUAAUGGCUCACCGAAGGC